CUUUAACGCAUGUUUUUGGGUUUCUCUUCUGACCUGAACGGGAGAGGAUUAAAAAGGAACCGUGUGUGAAUCACGGGCUGUCGCGCAACUGUAUGUUGUAGUGGGUAUUGUUCCCACAGCGCUGCAUAAGAAGCCACUGUAGCAGACCUCAAUGUUAUGGGAAGGCAUGUAGCAGAACAACGAGCCAGGAUACUUGCCUGAAAACGGAGACCAAU
rnacentral:ncRNA from 2 species